AGUGAAGAUGCUGUGGACCGCCAAAGUGAUGAUGUGGUUGUCACCACAACACCCAAUCCCCACAACCAGACCACAUCUGCCCAUACUGAAGCUGGUGGUGGAGCAAGUGAAGAUGCUGUGGCUACUACCCCAGCACCCAAUCCAGACAACCAGACAACUUCUGCACAAGCUGAAGUUACUGAUGGAGCCAGUGAAGAUGCUGUGGACCGCCAAAGUGAUGAUGUGGUUGUCACCACAACACCCAAUCCCCACAACCAGACCACAUCUGCCCAUACUGAAGCUGGUGAUGGAGCAAGUGAAGAUGCUGUGGCUACCACCCCAACACCAAAUCCCCCCAACUACAUCUGACCACACUGCAGCUAC
ensembl:lncRNA